AAAAAUCAAAAAAUGAGAUGCCUGAAAAAAAGGAUUAUUUUGAUAGAAUAAAUUAUGUAUUUUUA
rnacentral:tRNA from 1 species